CCUUGACAUACUAAGAACUUUCCAGAGAUGGAUUGGUGCCUUCGGGAACUUAGAUACAGGUGCUGCAUGGCUGUCGUCAGCUCGUGUCGUGAGAUGUUGGGUUAAGUCCCGCAACGAGCGCAACCCUUUUCCUUAUUUGCCAGCGGGUCAUGCCGGGAACUUUGAGGAUACUGCCAGUGACAAACUGGAGGAAGGCGGGGACGACGUCAAGUCAUCAUGGCCCUUACGGCCAGGGCUACACACGUGCUACAAUGGUCGGUACAAAGGGUUGCUACCUCGCGAGAGGAUGCUAAUCUCAAAAAGCCGAUCGUAGUCCGGAUCGCAGUCUGCAACUCGACUGCGUGAAGUCGGAAUCGCUAGUAAUCGCGGAUCAGAAUGCCGCGGUGAAUACGUUCCCGGGCCUUGUACACACCGCCCGUCACACCAUGGGAGUUUGUUGCACCAGAAGUAGGUAGUCUAACCGCAAGGAGGACGCUUACCACGGUGUGGCCGAUGACUGGGGUGAAGUCGUAACAAGGUAAGCGUAGAUGA
rnacentral:rRNA from 1 species